rnacentral:lncRNA from 1 species
ACCUUUCAGUUAUUACCCGUCCAUGUCCAUUCACCUCUCACAUUACCCAACCAUGUCCAUUCACCUCUCAUAUCACCCAGCCCAUGCCCAUGUCCAUGCACCUCUCAAAUCUUCCAAACCAUGUCCAUGCACCUCUCACAUCACCCAACCAUGUCUAUGUCCAUGCACCACUCACAUCAACAAACAUGUCCCAUGUCCAUGCACCUCUCACAUCACCCAACCCAUGUCAUUGUCCAUGCACCACUCACAUCACCAAGCCUAUGUCCAUAUCCAUGCACCUCUCACAUCACCCAGCCCACUUCAAUGCACCUCUUACAUUACCCAACCAUGUCCAUGUAAAUACACCACUCACAUCACCCAAACAUGUCCAUGUACCUCUCACAUCACGAUGUUCAUGUCCAUGCACCUCUCACAUCACCCAACCCAUGCCCAUGUCCAUGCACCUCUCACAACACCCAACCCAUGUCCAUGUCUGUGCACCUCUCACAACACCCAACCCAUGUCCAUGUCCAUGCACCUCUCACAUCUCCCAUGUCCAUGUUCAUGCACCUCUCACAUCACCCAGUCCAUGUCCAUGCAACUCUCAUAUCACCCAACCCAUGUCCAUGCAUCUCUCACAUCACCCAGCCCAUAUCCAUGUCCAUGCACCUCUCACAUCUUCCAACCCAUGUCCAUGUACAUACACCACUCACAUCACCCAAACAUGUCCAUGCACCUCUCACAUCACCCAACCCAUGUCCAUGCACCUCUCACAUUACCCAACCCAUGUCCAUGUCACUCCACCUCUCACAUUACCCAACCCAUGUUCAUGUCCAUGCACCUCUCACAUCAUCCAACCCAUGUCUUUGUCCAUGCACCUCUCACAUCACCCAGUCCAUGUUCAUGCACCUCUCACAUCACCCAGCCCAUGUCCUUCUCCUUGCACCUCUCACAUCUUCCAACCCAUGUCCAUGCACCACUCACAUCACCCAAACAUGUCCAUGCACCUCUCAUAUUGCCCUGUUCAAGUCCAUGCACCUCUCACAUCACCCAACCAUUUCCAUGUCCAUGCACCUCUCACAUCAUCCAACCCAUGUCCUUGUUCAUACACCACUCACAUCAUCCAACCCAUGUCCUUGUCCAUACACCACUCACAUCACCCAACCCAUGUCCUUGUCCAUGCACCACUCACAUCACCCAACCCAUGUCCAUGCUGAUGGCAUUUCCUCAUUUCUUCUUCUUUCCUCCC